rnacentral:lncRNA from 1 species
AGCCCGCCUGGCGCGCGGGGCUCUGCGCGCUGCGACCCUCCCCGGCAGUCCCGCCCGCCUCUCCUCGCCCUCUCUCUGCCUGGCCUCCAACUUUGCCUCUCGCUAUCCUCUCCGCCGGCGCCCCCUUUCCCGGCGGUCCCCGGGAUGGUCCCCGGCACCCCGAGGACGCCGAGGUUACGGGAAGUUCGGGGACUGGCGGGAGAAGGGGUUUGGGGGUGGUCCGCGGCGAGGGGCGCGGGGUGCAUCUUCUCUUCCUUUUAUGGGCUGCCACACUUGUGUAUCCCUUCUUCCUUGAAUUUAACCAGGAGUGAGCAGUGGACAGCUUCUUCCCUAUGAGAAGGAGGUGAAGCAGGACCUGAAAUCCCGUGCUCAGCUCCCACAUGCCCCGUGUCCAGGACAAGUCCUUUGCUGAAUCAGCGGCAGACACCACCCGGAGCCCUGCGGGAGCCUUUCCCUGUUCUUCCAGCAUGGAUCUGAAACUCCCUUCCCACUUUCUGCAGCCUCCCAGAGAUAGUUCAGGCUCCAGCCUCAUGUGAUAGCAUGAAGAGAAACUGGUUCCAACAGCUGUGUGCUCUGCUGCCCUCAUCCCAAACAACAGUUUAAAUGCACAAUUACGCUUUUCUCUAAGGCCCAAAAUAGGAUAGGAAAGAUCGUUUUGCUAUCCCUGAAUGCCUGUCACCCUUGUUUCGUAAGGAAGUCAGUCCCAGAAUAGUUGUUCUGCUCCCUCCCUUCUAAUAAGUGCUGCGCUGAGUGUGCUUGCUUUGCCAGAUGGUUAAAACAGAGCAGGGGAUAGAAGGACAGAUGUCUUCACCCUCAUGGAGUUCACCUUCCAGUAGGAGGAGGCGAUAGGCCGGGGUCUGCACAUGUGCGUGCUACAGCCUGUUCCACGGUGCGUGGCGUGCGGGGCAGUAGAGACAGGAUUUCACCAUGUUGGCUAGGAUGGUCUCGAUCUCCUGACCUUGUGAUCCGCCCCUCCCUCAGCCUCCCAAAGUGCUGGGAUUACAGGCGUGAGCCACUGCACCCUGCCAGAAAACUCAUUCUUCUACUCCAUCCUACAGUUUUCCCUAAGAGAGAAACAAUAAAACGCCACCACGACCAAUGGCAAAAAGCUGGCACCCACUCCACGACUUUUCAUAUCUACACGUUUGUACAGCUUUAUUUUUAAGCAUUCUGAAAUUCUAUGCAGGAGAGACCCCAGCUAGGUUUAGGGAGUCCUAGGGUUUGUGGAGUAAAUGAAGUUUCUCCCUAGAAUUAGGGAGGGUAGAGACAGGCAGAGAACUGACAAUCCUAACAGCUGCUGUCCUCAGAGCCACUGUUUCUGAGAGCUGCUCGCUGAGUGCUUCUAGCGAGUUAAAUGGUGUUCGCCCAAAAGACCUGUUCACGUCCUGAUCCUGGGAACCUGUGGCUGUGAUCUUAUUUGGAAAAAGCUCUACAUUACGUCUUUGCAGAAGUAAUCAUGUUAAGGAUCUUGAGAGGACGUGACCCUGAAUUAUCCGGCUGUGCUUGACAUCCAAUGACUGGUGAUGUUGUAAGAGAAAGACGGAGGGAGAUGUAAGAUAUGAGAGAAGGCCACGCCGAGACUGGAGUGAUGUGGCCGUGAGCCGAGGAAUGCCUGGAGCCACCAGAAGCUGGCAAAGGCAGAAGGAGCCUCCUCUGGACCCUGUGGUGGGUACGCAGCCUGGCAGAUAUAUUCAUUUUGGACUUCUGGCCUCCAGGGCUGUGAGAGAAUACAUUUCUGCAGUUUUAAGCCACGCAAUCUGUGUCCCUGGGAAGCCCAAAUAGGGCGAGACCUUUUGCCAAGUGGUCUCCAAGUGUCACGUCAUCGAAUCCUUCUCCCGGGCUUGUGCCAUAGUCUUUCCACUUUAGAGAGGAGGAAACGGAGGCUCUGGGGCACAAAGCCAGUCAGUGGCGGGGCCUGACUUUCAACCCAGCCUGCAUGGGGUCAGAGAACCCACUUUCCCCGUGGGGCCUGCGGCCUAUGCUAAGGAUGCUUGUUCAUCUCUCCUGGGCCCGGGAGUGGUUCUUCUGGCCUAGAAGGCAAGAGAAGCCAGUCUUUCGGUUUCAAGGUUUCCCAUUAGUGGAGUCAAGCAAAAAUGGUGUGUUGCGCUUCUUCCUGAGCUCAGCCUGGGAGCACGGCCUUAACAUGCUCAGUGGAUCCCAAGACGGCAGCAUGGCGGUGCCAGCCUGGCAGCCUUAGCUCCUUGCAGCUGUGCUUGUGAAGGGAGCAGUGAGUGGCUUCCCUCUGUGACCACCUUGGGUCCUAAGUUUCACUGGGGCUGGGAUCCAUGCGUCUUGCAAUUGGCUAGGAAUUUCCCGGGCUUUCCCUCCCUUCCCUGUUCAGGGCACUGGGUGUGAGGCAUUGCAUCCGUUCUUCUGCUCACCUGCUUCCCCCUAAGAGUGUGAGCUGUAUAAAGGCAGGAACCAAACAGGAGCCUCCACGUGUUCCCAGUUCAAGGGCAGUGUCCCUUGUGUGUUUCUUCAAUAAUUCAGUGGAUGACUUAUUCUGCACGGACACUGCACACACUCGGCCCUGCCGUCUCCGGAGCUGGGAGGUGUGGAGCUGGCUCCUGACCUAUUUACACACUGAGGAGGGAUGUGGAAAACAGGAGGAGUCCCAGGGCUCCAAUGCAAAGAGGAGCCUCUUCAUUCCCUCUGCCGUGGCCGUGCAAGGGACAGCGCCUUGUGGGAUUGUGUCCUCCACCCAAUUAUCCUUAGCAUUAGUUUGCUAAGGAUAAUGGCCUCCAGCUCCACCCAUGUCCCUGCAAAGGACAUGAUCUCAUUCCUUUCUGUGUCUGCAUAGUAUUCCAUGGUGUAUAUGUACCGCGUUUUCUUUAUCGAGUCUAUCAUUGAUGGGCGCUUCAGUUGAUUCCAUGUCUUUGCUACUGUGACUCGUGCUGCAAUGAGCAUUCGCGUGCAUGCCUUUAUGGUGGAAUUAUUUCUAUUCCUUUGGGUGCAUACCCAGUCAUGGGAUUGCUGGGUCAAAUGGCAUUUCUGCCUCUAGGUCUUUAAGGAAUUGCCACGCUGUCUUCCACAAUGCAAGCAAGACGUUAUUGAAAGUGUAAAGGGGGCUGCUAAUUACGCUGGGGCAGGCGGGGCAAACCAGGACCCUGCCAGGCGAGUCUAGGCCAUGGCCCCACACCAGAAGAUGAGGGCUGGAGACUCCUGGAGAGGAAUCUGAGUGGCGAGACCACCUGCAUUCAUUAUGUGUCAACUCUGCCAGGUGACAGUCCCCAGUGAGCCCAUCAAACAUGAACCUAGGUGCUGUUGGGAAGGUCUUUGGAUGCCAUUAACAUCUACAAUCAGUUGGUUUUCAGUAGAGGAGAUUAUCCUCAAGAAUGUGGGCGGGCCUCAUCCAGUGAGCUGAAAGGCCUUGAGAGCAGAACUAGGAUUUUGGAGGAGGAUGAAGUGUUGCCUCCGGACCGCAGCGUCACCUCUUGCCUGGGAAUUUCCAGCUUCCUUUUCAGACUUCGGACUUGCCUCCAAGCUCCCUGAAUCUUUUCAUAUAUUUAUGUCCUAUUGCAGAUUGUGUUUCUCUGGCUGGACUGUAACUGAUGAGGAGGACUGAAAUUCCAGGCUUGGUUGUAUAGCAUAUAAGUGAGGUCAUUUGGGUCUGGGGAGCUGGGGGGGGGGUCCUUCAGCUGCAUGAGUGUGACCUGCACCAAGGUGCCUGGCUACCUGGGGCGAGGGGGCUGCCAUCUAGCCCACACCCCACUCCUAGGCCGUGCACCCUGGCAUGGGUCUAUGUCUGGCUCAAGGAAGGGUUCCCUCCUCCCUCCAAUGUGCACAGAGACCUUGAGAUCCCAUCCACCUAACCCUGUGCCCUCAGAAGCCUCCUCUGAGAGGGGGCACCUUUUCCUAAUUCUCACAAAGGCUAGUGGCUACCUUGUAGAUAGCCUUGGAUGUGUUAGGACACUUUUCUGAACAUCAGUUCCUUAUCUGUAAGAUGGGAGUUGUGUCCUCAAUGGGUAAUUAGAGAUUAUUCAUGGGAAAUCCUAUCACGGUAUCUACCACGGGGAGACUCACAAGUGCUGAUCUUUGCUGGUGUUGCUGCAUUUGUUAUUGAAUGCAUUCGUUAGGAGUCUUGUUAGUAAGUGACAAAAAUCCAACUCAAAUUGGCUUACACUAAACAAGUUUCCUGCAUCUGGGAGUAUAAAGGGUG